UGAAACCGUUCAGGAGUAUACCUGAGAAACCCAAAAGUUCGAAUGGGGAGAUUCAUCGUCAACGGUGCUGGCUCCCGUUGGUGCGCGAUGCCCCGACCCGAAGGGCCCUUGUGAUUCCACGGCGAGGGCACACCACCUUCGGCUCGAAUCGUCCGGUGCCGUAGUCGUGCACUUCUCCCCUAGUAAAACGUCGCGACCCGKCGUGUGUCGGUCUACGGCCUGAGAAGGCGCCUGUCGCGUCGCCUCGUGCGCACGCGGCAGAAGCUCGGUCGACCGGCCGGCUGCAUGACGGUACUCGCACGGUAUCGGGCCGCAACCAAACCAUUCUCGAAUGCAUUUGCGUCCGUGCCCGCCGCAAGCUCGGUCAGWUUCACCCGGAGGUACAGACCUGGUGCSGUUCCCGGGCCUGGCCAGCUGUUAGCAGAGCGGAGUCCUCGGACUGGACAAGCCUUGAAUUACCGGUCGGSGACGCUAUUGCUUUGGAUAUUCUCAGGACACGUCUUGAAACACGGACCAAGGAGUCUAACAUGUGCGCGAGUCAUUGGGAUUGAUUAAACCUAAAGGCGAAAUGAAAGUGAAAAUCGGCCUUCGCGCCGAUCGAGGGAGGAUGGGCCGCGUUACUAUGCGGCCCCGCACUCCCGGGGCGUCUCGCUCUCAUUGCGAGAAGAGGCGCACCUAGAGCGUACACGUUGGGACCCGAAAGAUGGUGAACUAUGCCUGGUCAGGACGAAGUCAGGGGAAACCCUGAUGGAGGUCCGUAGCGAUUCUGACGUGCAAAUCGAUCGUCGGAACUGGGUAUAGGGGCGAAAGACUAAUCGAACCAUCUAGUAGCUGGUUCCCUCCGAAGUUUCCCUCAGGAUAGCUGGCACUCGAUCGUUCCUCUGUGAACAUGUGCGAGUCUCAUCUGGUAAAGCGAAUGAUUAGAGGCCUUGGGGCCGAAACGACCUCAACCUAUUCUCAAACUUUAAAUGGGUGAGAUCUCUGGCUUGCUUGGAUCAUGAAGCCACGAGAUUUUGGAUCAGAGUGCCAAGUGGGCCAAUUUUGGUAAGCAGAACUGGCGCUGUGGGAUGAACCAAACGCAGAGUUAAGGCGCCUAAGUCGACGCUUAUGGGAUACCAUGAAAGGCGUUGGUUGCUUAAGACAGCAGGACGGUGGCCAUGGAAGUCGGAUCCGCUAA
rnacentral:rRNA from 1 species